rnacentral:tRNA from 1 species
GGCGCGGUGGCAGAGUGGCUAUGCAGAGGAUUGCAAAUCCUUGUAGACCGGUUCGAUUCCGGUCCGUGCCUCCA